rnacentral:snRNA from 1 species
GUGCUUACUUUGGCAGCACAUAUAGUAAAAUUGGAAUGAUACAGAGAAGAUUACCAUGGCCCUUGUGAAAGUAUUACAUGCAAAUUGGUGAAGUGUUCCAUAUAUAU